rnacentral:rRNA from 1 species
GACGUAGGGUGCGAGCGUUGUCCGGAAUUAUUGGGCGUAAAGAGCUCGUAGGCGGUCUGUCGCGUCGGAUGUGAAAGCCCGGGGCUUAACCCCGGAUCUGCAUUCGAUACGGGCAGACUAGAGUGUGGUAGGGGAGAUCGGAAUUCCUGGUGUAGCGGUGAAAUGCGCAGAUAUCAGGAGGAACACCGGUGGCGAAGGCGGAUCUCUGGGCCGAUACUGACGCUGAGGAGCGAAAGCGUGGGGAGCGAACAGG